GUCCUAGCUGUAAACGGUGCACAUUUGCUGUAAGAGGAAUCGACCCCUUUUGUGGCGAAGCUAACGCGUUAAAUGUGCCGCCUGGGGAGUACGGUCGCAAGAUUAAAACUCAAAGAAAUUGACGGGGCCUGCACAAGCGGUGGAGUAUGUGGCUUAAUUCGAUGCAACGCGAAGAACCUUACCUGGCCUUGACAUGUACGUAGUAGAAGGAUGAAAGUCUGACGAGUGUAGCAAUACACAGCGUACACAGGUGCUGCAUGGCUGUCGU
rnacentral:rRNA from 1 species